GACGAACGCUGGCGGCGUGCUUAACACAUGCCAGUCGAACGGAAAGGCCCCAGCUUGCUGGGGUACUCGAGUGGCGAACGGGUGAGUAACACGUGGGUGAUCUGCCCUGCACUCUGGGAUAAGCCUGGGAAACUGGGUCUAAUACCGGAUAGGACCGUGCUUUAGUGUGUGCGGUGGAAAGUUUUUCGGUGCAGGAUGAGCCCGCGGCCUAUCAGCUUGUUGGUGGGGUAAUGGCCUACCAAGGCGGCGACGGGUAGCCGGCCUGAGAGGGUGUACGGCCACAUUGGGACUGGGACACGGCCCAGACUCCUACGGGAGGCAGCAGUGGGGAAUAUUGCACAAUGGGCGCAAGCCUGAUGCAGCGACGCCGCGUGGGGGAUGACGGCCUUCGGGUUGUAAACCCCUUUCGGCAGGGACGAAGCUUUUGUGACGGUACCUGCAUAAGAAGCACCGGCUAACUACGUG
rnacentral:rRNA from 1 species